UGGCUCAGUUGGUAGAGCAUGGUGUUUGCAAUGCCAGGGUUGUGGGAUCGAUUCCCAC
rnacentral:tRNA from 1 species